rnacentral:misc_RNA from 1 species
GAUGAAGAACGCAGCGAAACGCGAUAGCUAGUGUGAAUUGCAGAUUUUCGUGAAUCAUCGAAUCUUUGAACGCACAUUGCGCCCGCCAGCAUUCUGGCGGGCAUGCCUGUUCGAGCGUCAUUUCAACCCUCGCAGCCCAUCUGGGCAGCGGUGUUGGGGAUCGGCACCACUGGCGAAAGCCGGCGCCGCCCCCGAAAUACAGUGGCGGUCUCGCUGCAGCCUCCCUUGCGUAGUAGCACACCUCGCACCGGAGCGCAGCGCGGCCACGCCGUAAAACCCCCGACUCUCUGAGUUUGACCUCGAAUCAGGUAGGAAUACCCGCUGAACUUAAGCAUAUCAAUAAGCGGAGGA